AGAGUUUGCUCCUGGCUCAGGACGAACGCUGGCGGCGCGCCUAACACAUGCAAGUCGAACGAGCGAGAGAGAGCUUGCUUUCUCAAGCGAGUGGCGAACGGGUGAGUAACGCGUGAGGAACCUGCCUCAAAGAGGGGGACAACAGUUGGAAACGACUGCUAAUACCGCAUAAGCCCACAGCUCGGCAUCGAGCAGAGGGAAAAGGAGCAAUCCGCUUUGAGAUGGCCUCGCGUCCGAUUAGCUAGUUGGUGAGGUAACGGCCCACCAAGGCGGCGAUCGGUAGCCGGACUGAGAGGUUGAACGGCCACAUUGGGACUGAGACACGGCCCAGACUCCUACGGGAGGCAGCAGUGGGGAAUAUUGCACAAUGGGGGAAACCCUGAUGCAGCGACGCCGCGUGGAGGAAGAAGGUCUUCGGAUUGUAAACUCCUGUUGUUGAGGAAGAUAAUGACGGUACUCAACAAGGAAGUGACGGCUAACUACGUGCCAGCAGCCGCGGUAAAACGUAGGUCACAAGCGUUGUCCGGAAUUACUGGGUGUAAAGGGAGCGCAGGCGGGAAGACAAGUUGGAAGUGAAAUCUAUGGGCUCAACCCAUAAACUGCUUUCAAAACUGUUUUUCUUGAGUAGUGCAGAGGUAGGCGGAAUUCCCGGUGUAGCGGUGGAAUGCGUAAAUAUCGGGAGGAACACCAGUGGCGAAGGCGGCCUACUGGGCACCAACUGACGCUGAGGCUCGAAAGUGUGGGUAGCANACAGGAUUAGAUACCCUGGUAGUCCACACCGUAAACGAUGAUUACUAGGUGUUGGAGGAUUGACCCCUUCAGUGCCGCAGUUAACACAAUAAGUAAUCCACCUGGGGAGUACGACCGCAAGGUUGAAACUCAAAGGAAUUGACGGGGGCCCGCACAAGCAGUGGAGUAUGUGGUUUAAUUCGACGCAACGCGAAGAACCUUACCAAGUCUUGACAUCCCUUGACGAACAUAGAAAUAUGUUUUCUCUUCGGAGCAAGGAGACAGGUGGUGCAUGGUUGUCGUCAGCUCGUGUCGUGAGAUGUUGGGUUAAGUCCCGCAACGAGCGCAACCCUUACUGUCAGUUACUACGCAAGAGGACUCUGGCAGGACUGCCGUUGACAAAACGGAGGAAGGUGGGGAUGACGUCAAAUCAUCAUGCCCUUUAUGACUUGGGCUACACACGUACUACAAUGGCGUUAAACAAAGAGAAGCAAGACCGCGAGGUGGAGCAAAACUCAGAAACAACGUCCCAGUUCGGACUGCAGGCUGCAACUCGCCUGCACGAAGUCGGAAUUGCUAGUAAUCGUGGAUCAGCAUGCCACGGUGAAUACGUUCCCGGGCCUGUACACACCGCCCGUC
rnacentral:rRNA from 1 species